rnacentral:lncRNA from 1 species
AUCGCCUGUGUUGCCUGGCCUGACCCCAAGAUGCUGAAAUUGGUCACACAGCCUCGAGUCCCAAGGCCCGGACAGAUGUGUUCUCUACACUUGUUUAAACACGGCGCUCAUUAGGAGCUGGGCAUGUAAAGCAAGCUCAUCACACCACAAAGCAGGGCGCUUUAUCAUGGGGGCCUCUCCGGAGGCGGCAGGAGGGGCCGUCAGCUGCCACUGUCACUCUGCUGCCCCCUCGGAUCCUGAGUGACAGUCAGGCCCCGCCACCUCCUCAGCCGCCUGCUCGGAAGUACACAGCUUCCCGUCAGAGCGCCGCCCAGCUGCCUGGGAGGAGGUAUUAAUUGUUGUCAGCGUUCAUUUCACACCCCAGAUAACAAACGAGAGCCACCCUGGCGGUGUGCGAGGAAGAUAAACAAGUUGCCUGAGCCUCUGCAAUUAAACAUGCUUGCAUACUUAA